GACGUAGGGCGCGAGCGUUGUCCGGAUUUAUUGGGCGUAAAGAGCUCGUAGGCGGCUUGUCGCGUCGUCCGUGAAAACUUGGGGCUCAACCCCAAGCUUGCGGUCGAUACGGGCAGGCUAGAGUUCGGUAGGGGAGACUGGAAUUCCUGGUGUAGCGGUGAAAUGCGCAGAUAUCAGGAGGAACACCGAUGGCGAAGGCAGGUCACUGGGCCGCAACUGACGCUGAGGAGCGAAAGCAUGGGGAGCGAACAGG
rnacentral:rRNA from 1 species